CUGGAGACAGGUGGCUGCAUGGCUGUCGUCAGCUCGUGUCGUGAGAUGUUGGGUUAAGUCCCGCAACGAGCGCAACCCUUGCCUUUAGUUGCCAGCAGUUCGGCUGGGCACUCUAAAGGGACUGCCGGUGUUAAACCGGAGGAAGGUGGGGGAUGACGUCAAGUCCUCAUGGCCUUUAUGACCAGGGCUACACACGUACUACAAUGGCCGAUACAAAGGGCAGCGACACUGCGAGGUGAAGCCAAUCCCGUAAAAUCGGUCUCAGUCCGGAUUGGAGUCUGCAACUCGACUCCAUGAAGUUGGAAUCGCUAGUAAUCGUGGAUCAGCAUGCCACGGUGAAUACGUUCCCGGGCCUU
rnacentral:rRNA from 1 species